GCAGCUUUGCUGUUUAAAUUCAAGGAACUAAUUGAUUUGCAUUGUGUCCCAACAUCACUACUGCUGGAUUUGACUUGCUUCGACUUACUAUAAGUAGUAAAAUCGUCUUCAAAAUCCACCAACCCAAUGGACUCUGGGAAGAAAGGUUCAGCCUGAUACAUGCUGUUAGCACUGGAAUUUGUCUCGAACUUAGCAAGAUCAAUCAAACUUUUACCUAGUUGAUUUCUUU
rnacentral:lncRNA from 1 species